AGGCGCUGGAGGACGACCUGCUGUACCGCCUGACUUCGACUCAGGUAUCACUGGUGGACGACGAGGAUCUGAUACAGGUUCUGCAGUACACCAAGACUACUGCUCAGGAGGUGCACGAGAAACUGCUUAUCGCUGCCGAGAUGGAGAAGAAAAUCAACAAAGCUCGGGACGAGUUUCGCCCGGUGGCCGCUAGGGGCUCGAUCCUCUACUUCCUGAUCACGGACAUGAGCGAGGUGAACGUCAUGUACCAGACGUCGCUCAAGCAGUUCCUCGGCCUGUUCGACCAGUCGAUGCAGAA